GAUGGGGCCGGCCGCCCGCGCGGAGCAAUCCGCAGCGGGGUCGUGUCCGGUUGCCUUUCCACUCGCCGUGGGGCGGAGCCGUUCCAGUGUGCGGUGGGCCGCACUUCUCCCCUAGUAGGACGUCGCGACCCGCUGGGUGCUGGCCUACGGCCCGGGUGCGCAGCCUGUCCUUCCGCGGAUCUCGGUUCGCGCCUGUUGGGCAGAGCCCCGGUGUCCUGGCUGGCUGCUCGGCGGUAUAUCUUGAGGAGUCGAUUCGCCAAACUCGCUUUGGGCGCCCGUGCUCCUGGCAAGCGUGUGCGGUUCUUCCCGGGUGACGGUCCUACCUGGCCCGGCCCCGGACCCGCGCCGCUGUUGGCUUGGGAUGCUCUCGGGCGGAAUAAUCGCUCCCGUCAGCGGCGCUUCAGCUUUGGACAAUUUCACGACCCGUCUUGAAACACGGACCAAGGAGUCUAACAUGUGCGCGAGUCAUUGGGCUGUACGAAACCUAAAGGCGUAAUGAAAGUGAAGGUCUCGCCUUGCGCGGGCCGAGGGAGGAUGGGGUUGCCGCUUGCCUCCGGGUGGCGGUUGCCUCCGCACUCCCGGGGCGUCUCGUCCUCAUUGCGAGGUGAGGCGCACCUAGAGCGUACACGUUGGGACCCGAAAGAUG
rnacentral:rRNA from 1 species